rnacentral:rRNA from 1 species
CGCGGCCUAUCAGCUUGUUGGUGGGGUAAUGGCUCACCAAGGCGACGACGGGUAGCCGGCCUGAGAGGGUGACCGGCCACACUGGGACUGAGACACGGCCCAGACUCCUACGGGAGGCAGCAGUGGGGAAUAUUGCACAAUGGGCGGAAGCCUGAUGCAGCGACGCCGCGUGAGGGAUGACGGCCUUCGGGUUGUAAACCUCUUUCAGUAGGGAAGAAGCGAGAGUGACGGUACCUGCAGAAGAAGCGCCGGCUAACUACGUGCCAGCAGCCGCGGUAAUACGUAGGGCGCAAGCGUUGUCCGGAAUUAUUGGGCGUAAAGAGCUCGUAGGCGGUUUGUCGCGUCUGCUGUGAAAGCCCGGGGCUCAACCCCGGGUCUGCAGUGGGUACGGGCAGACUAGAGUGCAGUAGGGGAGACUGGAAUUCCUGGUGUAGCGGUGAAAUGCGCAGAUAUCAGGAGGAACACCGAUGGCGAAGGUAGGUCUCUGGGCUGUUACUGACGCUGAGGAGCGAAAGCAUGGGGAGCGAACAGGAUUAGAUACCCUGGUAGUCCAUGCCGUAAACGUUGGGCACUAGGUGUGGGGGACAUUCCACGUUUUCCGCGCCGUAGCUAACGCAUUAAGUGCCCCGCCUGGGGAGUACGG